CCAACCCUAAGAGGUGUGCAGGUGUGGCUGCUGUGUCACAUAUGUAUCAGUAGGUGGCAGAGAAGAGACCAUGCUUAGGGUUCUGUUCUGACCUGUGAAUAUCUGAAUGAUUAGUAGCCCAACAGU
rnacentral:snoRNA from 1 species